AUUGAACGCUGGCGGCAUGCUUUACACAUGCAAGUCGAACGGCAGCGGGGGCUUCGGCCCGCCGGCGAGUGGCGAACGGGUGAGUAAUGCAUCGGAACGUGCCCAGUCGUGGGGGAUAACACAUCGAAAGAUGUGCUAAUACCGCAUACGUCCUGAGGGAGAAAGCGGGGGAUCUUCGGACCUCGCGCGAUUGGAGCGGCCGAUGUCGGAUUAGCUAGUUGGUGGGGUAAAGGCCCACCAAGGCGACGAUCCGUAGCGGGUCUGAGAGGAUGAUCCGCCACAUUGGGACUGAGACACGGCCCAGACUCCUACGGGAGGCAGCAGUGAGGAAUAUUGGUCAAUGGACGCAAGUCUGAACCAGCCACGUCGCGUGAAGGAAGACGGCCCUACGGGUUGUAAACUUCUUUUAUACGGGAAUAAAGUGCCCCACGCGUGGGGUUUUGCAUGUACCGUAUGAAUAAGGAUCGGCUAACUCCGUGCCAGCAGCCGCGGUAA
rnacentral:rRNA from 1 species